rnacentral:lncRNA from 1 species
UUGUACGCAGAACCUGUUUUGCACCAAGAGUCCUUCACAACUUGGACUCUUCAUAAUUGGCAUUAAAAUGGGAUGUGGCACCCCAAUUUGGGCUACUUCUAGGUGGCAUGACCUGACCCAAAUAGGUACAGGUUGUUGUUAGAGAACAACUUGCACUAAGCAUGACCAACACAAGAAUCACAUAGAUGUCUACUCACUCGUCAGUGGUCUUUUUGAUGCUGCAGUGGUAUGAGUGAUCCUUUGACCUGUAGUGAUAUUAGCUAUUCAC